ACCAAGCUGGACUCGUCUACCAAAACCGCUGGCAUACCCAUGAAACUCAUCGUUUCACCAGUUCAGUGACUGUUCGUGCAUACAAAGGAGAAUAUGAUAUCAUUGUAAGACGAGGAAGAAAUGGUCCAGUUGUUGGAACAAAGCAUGUGACACUAGGAAAUGGUGGACUUUCUCUGACAAUACAUGUCACAGGACAAGGGCAAAACUACGCUGUUUCGAAUGUUGUAUUUGGAUGAUAACAACAUAAUUGUAGAUACAAAGGAGAUAACAUUGAAUUCUUUGAAAUAAAAGUACAAAUUUCA